UACGUAGGUGCCGAGCGUUGUCCGGAUUUACUGGGCGUAAAGAGCGCGCAGGCGGUCGAUCAAGUCGAGUGUGAAAGCCCCCGGCUCAACUGGGGAGGGUCAUUCGAUACUGAUCGACUCGAAGGCAGGAGAGGGUAGUGGAAUUCCCGGUGUAGUGGUGAAAUGCGUAGAUAUCGGGAGGAACACCAGUGGCGAAGGCGACUACCUGGCCUGUUCUUGACGCUGAGGCGCGAAAGCUAGGGGAGCAAACGGG
rnacentral:rRNA from 1 species